GCGUUAGACGAACGGUCUGGAAAGUCCGACGAUACAGGGUGAUAGUCCCGUAGUUGACGACGUGUGUUCAGUGAAAUCGAGUAGGGCGGGACACGUGAUAUCCUGUCUGAAUAUGGGGGGACCAUCCUCCAAGGCUAAAUACUACUGACUGACCGAUAGUGAACCAGUACCGUGAGGGAAAGGCGAAAAGAACCCCUGUGAGGGGAGUGAAAUAGAACCUGA
rnacentral:rRNA from 1 species